UGGGGAAUUGUUCGCAAUGGGCGCAAGCCUGACGACGCAACGCCGCGUGGAGGAUGAAGGUCUUCGGAUUGUAAACUCCUGUUGAUCGGGACGAAAAGCUUCGACCUAACACGUCGAAGACUGACGGUACCGGUUGAGGAAGCCACGGCUAACUCUGUGCCAGCAGCCGCGGUAAUACAGAGGUGGCAAGCGUUGUUCGGAAUUACUGGGCGUAAAGGGCGCGUAGGCGGCCUUCUAAGUCGGACGUGAAAGCCCCAGGCUUAACCUGGGAACUGCGUCCGAUACUGGAAGGCUUGGAUUCGGGAGAGGGAUGUGGAAUUCCAGGUGUAGCGGUGAAAUGCGUAGAUAUCUGGAGGAACACCGGUGGCGAAGGCGGCAUCCUGGACCGAGAUCGACGCUGAGGCGCGAAAGCUAGGGGAGCAAACGGGAUUAGAUACCCCGGUAGUCCUAGCCCUAAACGAUGAGUGCUUGGUGUGGCGGGUAUCGAUCCCUGCCGUGCCGAAGCUAACG
rnacentral:rRNA from 1 species